AUUGAACGCUGGCGGCAGGCUUAACACAUGCAAGUCGAACGGAGUGGCGGACGGGUGAGUAACGCGUAGGUAACUGCCUGGUAGCGGGGGAUAACUAUUGGAAACGAUAGCUAAUACCGCAUACUACCAGAUGGACCUGCGUUGUAUUAGCUAGUGGGUGGGGUAACGGCUCACCAAGGCAACGAUACAUAGCCGACCUGAGAGUGUGAGCGGCCACACUGGUACUGAGACACGGCCCAGACUCCUACGGGAGGCAGAAGGAGGGAAUCUUCGGCAAGGGACGAAAGUCUGACCGAGCAACGCCGCGUGAGUGAAGAAGGUUUUCGGAUCGUAAAACUCUGUUGUUAGAGAAGCGGUAUCUAACCAGAAAGCCACGGCUAACUACGUGCCAGCAGCCGCGGUAAUA
rnacentral:rRNA from 1 species